GUAUAUUAAAGUUGUUGCAGUUAAAAAGCUCGUAGUUGAACCUUGGGUCUGGCUGGCAGGUCCGCCUCACCGCGUGUACUUGUCCGGCCGGGCCUUCCUUCUGGAGAACCUCAUGUCUUUUAUUAGGCGUGUUGGGGACCAGAACUUUUACUUUGAAAAAAUUAGAGUGUUCAAAGCAGGCCUUUGCUCGAAUACGUUAGCAUGGAAUAAUAGAAUAGGACGUGCGGUCCUAUUUUGUUGGUUUCUAGGACCGCCGUAAUGAUUAAUAGGGACAGUCGGGGGCAUCAGUAUUCAAUUGUCAGAGGUGAAAUUCUUGGAUUUAUUGAAGACUAACUACUGCGAAAGCAUUUGCCAAGGAUGUUUUCAUUAAUCAGUGAACGAAAGUUAGGGGAUCGAAGACGAUCAGAUACCGUCGUAGUCUUAACCGUAAACUAUGCCGACUAGGGAUCGGGCGAUGUUCUUUUUCUGACUCGCUCGGCACCUUACGAGAAAUCAAAGUUUUUGG
rnacentral:rRNA from 1 species